rnacentral:rRNA from 1 species
UACGUAGGGUGCGAGCGUUAAUCGGAAUUACUGGGCGUAAAGCGUGCGUAGGUGGUUCGUUGUGUCUGUGGUGAAAGCCCCGGGCUUAACCUGGGAAUGGCCAUGGAAACUGGCGAGCUGGAGUCUGGCAGAGGGGGGUGGAAUUCCGCGUGUAGCAGCGAAAUGCGUAGAGAUGCGGAGGAACACCGAUGGCGAAGGCAGCCCCCUGGGCUAAGACUGACGCUGAGGCACGAAAGCGUGGGGAGCAAACAGG